rnacentral:rRNA from 1 species
UACGACUACAUAUCAGGCAUAUCAAUAAGCGGAGGAAAAGAAACUAACAAGGAUUCCCUUAGUAACGGCGAGUGAAGCGGGAAGAGCUCAAAUUUGAAAUCUUCAAGGUUUUACCUUGACGAAUUGUAGUUUAAAGAAGUGUUUUCUGUUGAAGUUUUGGUAAAAGUUCUCUGGAAUAGGACAUCAUAGAGGGUGAGAAUCCCGUAUUUGACCAUUAUUUUCAGCUGUGUGAUACACUUUCAAAGAGUCGGAUUGUUUGGGAAUGCAGUCCAAAAUGGGUGGUAAAUUUCAUCUAAGGCUAAAUAUUGGCGAGAGACCGAUAGCGAACAAGUACCGUGAGGGAAAGAUGAAAAGAACUUUGAAAAGAGAGUUAAACAGUACGUGAAAUUGUCAAAAGGGAAGCGUUUGACACCAGUGUUGUUUUCUCGAAAAUCAAUUAAAAAAGGUUAGGAUUUUGUGUUGUAUUGACCUUAACAGCUUGCUUCACUCUUUUCCAGCUUUUUUUAAUGCACUUUUCGUUUAACAAGUCAACAUCAGUUUCUUUUGUUGUAAAAGGGUCAUUGGAAGGUGGCUUUCUCUUCGGAGAAAGUGUUUAUAGCCUUUGAUCUCUGCAAUCGGAGAGACUGAGGUCUGCAGCGUAGAUCCUUCGGGGUUAGAUACAUUUGUGCUAAGCUACAGCUUUUCAUAGACAACUUGUUGACUAUGUUUAGUCUUGUGACUUACCCGCUUAUGCUAUUUUACCUACGCUUAGGAUGUUGAGCGCAUGUCUCUCUCU